rnacentral:tRNA from 1 species
AAGUGAGAAGCAAAUAAUUGCAAUCAGUUUCGACCUGGUCUUAGAUAAAAACUUUAUCCUUACUUU